rnacentral:misc_RNA from 1 species
UAUUAUUGUAAAUAAGUAGGAAUAACCACAUCCAUCGGAGAGUGAAUGUAGCGCACAUUGGGGAUAAAAUGUGAGUGUCCAUUAAGAUGGUCUAGUCAGAUCAAACAUAGAUAAUCAAAUGCUCCAGUAAGAAAAUGUAAUAAAUUAGUGGUGAAAUGAGUAAAGAAGAAAAUAGAGAGAUCUAAAAUGACGUAGAGAGAAGUAACAUAAAAAAUUAACAAUUCUUGAAUAUUGAUGCAAAAUGGGUCUUAAACAGAGCUAAAUGGUGAAAAAUAAUCCAUGUAGUCAACCCCCAACUAGUUUAAGGCUUAGCUAUUCUUAUUGUUGUUGCUUGUCUCGAGUGUGCAUCACAUGCAAGACAAGAAGGAUUUGUCCUGUCUUCUCCCAUCUUGCAUACCAAAUGCAGCCAAUGGGACUAAUAUGCAAAGGCCAGUCGGCCCUAGUUUUAGGCCCAAGCAAAGGCUAACAUACAACAGAGAAGGGACAUUCAUCCUCAAGUGAAUUUUGCAAGCACUGCGAAGGACUUUUACAUCCCUUUGAAUGUCUUCAUACAACAUCUAAGGUUCCACAACAAAAUAUAGCCCCCACUUUAAACAAAAAAUCUUAAACAAAAAUAAUUUUUUUUUUCUAAAAAAAAAGUGAGAGAUAGGGUGAAUGUGCAAUCCAUAUCCAUGAGAUAAAUCGUAAUGGAAUCACAUCUUGAUAAGAAAGGCACCAGGGUGCUAUAGGAAUCUUUAGAAAAUGUAUUAUAUUGUCAAUGUGUUGUUGGCCACAAUUUUCCUGUUAAGAUUUUCACUAGUAUCCCUUUUGAAUUAUAAAUUGAUGCCAAACUUGAAGUUUUUACAUAAAACUUCUGGAAAUUCCCAAUAUCAGUUUGACUUCAGGUAAAAACAGAUUUUACCUUUUUUUCAAGUAUCCGUACUUG